AAGUCGUAACAAGGUUUCCGUAGGUGAACCUGCGGAAGGAUCAUCAGUGAAUGUGAAUGUAACGCAUCCCUGUGCACUGUUGGCGCACAUUUUGUGUGCGCAUAUUAUACUCACCCCGCUCUGAGAUGAAUCUGCACUUUUAUAAAAAGCACACAACUUUUAACAACGGAUCUCUUGGUUCUC
rnacentral:misc_RNA from 1 species